rnacentral:rRNA from 1 species
AAUUUAAACCCUUUAACGAGUAUCUAUGAGAGGGCAAGUCUGGUGCCAGCAGCCGCGGUAAUUCCAGCUCUCAAAAUGCAUAGAAUUAUUGCUGCGGUUAAAAAGCUCGUAGUUGGAUCUGUGCUGGCGUCCCGGUCCACUUUCGGGUGCGCACUGGUGAUGUUGGCUUUUCUGCUGGUCGUACGGGGCAGUAGGCUUCACCGCUUGCUGUCUCGGGCUGGCGCGUUUACCUUGAACAAAUCAGAGUGCUUCAAACAGGCGUUUCGCUUGAAUGUUCGUGCAUGGAAUAAUAGAAGAGGAUUUCGGUUCUAUUUUAUUGGUUUUAUAGACUGAGAUAAUGGUUAACAGAGACAAACGGGGGCAUUUGUAUUGCUACGUGAGAGGUGAAAUUCUUGGACCGUAGCAAGACAAACUACAGCGAAAGCAUUUGCCAAGAAUGUCUUCAUUAAUCAAGAACGAAAGUCAGAGGUUCGAAGGCGAUUAGAUACCGCCCUAGUUCUGACCGUAAACGAUGCCAACUAGCGAUCCGCCGGUGGAUUCUUUGCCCUGGUGGGGAGCUUCCCGGAAACGAAAGUCUUCCGGUUCCGGGGGAAGUAUGGUUGCAAAGCUGAAACUUAAAGGAAUUGACGGAAGGGCACCACCAGGAGUGGAGCCUGCGGCUUAAUUUGACUCAACACGGGGAAACUCACCCGGCCCGGACACCGUAAGGAUUGACAGAUUGAUAGCUUUUUCAUGAUUCGGUGGAUGGUGGUGCAUGGCCGUUCUUAGUUCGUGGAGCGAUCUGUCUGGUUUAUUCCGAUAACGAGCGAGACUCUAGCCUACUAACUAGUUCGCAUAUUGUCUCUGUGUGUGUGACUUCUUAGAGGGAUUUUCGGUGUACAGCCGCACGAAAUUGAGCAAUAACAGGUCUGUGAUGCCCUUAGAUGUCCGGGGCUGCACGCGCGCUAC